rnacentral:lncRNA from 1 species
AGAAUGCAGUGAGGGUAGCGACCGGGCUACACAGGUGAUGAAAGGGGGAACUGCAUCCUGGGAUCCGCAGUUUCGCUUGUCCACCCGCCAAAUCCUAAGAGUGGCUGGGCGCAGUUAUUGGGGAGUAUAGAAACAGGGUUUCACCAUGUUGGCCAUGCUGGUCUCGAACUCCAGAACUCAAGUGAUCCGUCCGCCUCGGUCUUCCAAACUGCUGGGAUUACAGGCGUGAGCCACCGCGCCCAGCCUUUGCGGAAGUUCUUUUUACCGUCCAUCAUCCAUUGCCACCACACCUUCUGCUUACGAGUUAUUUAUAAUAAGUUUAACUAAAAGAGAACGAGAGAACAUCCCCUGAAACCCAAAGUUUGUCAUUCUAUACAGCUUUCCUGCCUGCAAAAGAGGAGGAGCAGACUCAUCCAGCAAAUCACCUAAAAAGUUUGAAGAUCAAAAAGCCUAGCUCCAGUUUCAGAUCCUUCCCCGACCUUUCUGAACACUAGUUUCUUCCUCUGAAAAACGAAAGAGGGAACGGGACCGUAGAGUGGAGUGGGCACAAGAAUCGCAAGUCCCUUCU